rnacentral:SRP_RNA from 13 species
ACGUUCCCGCAGGGCGGGCAGGAACGGCACGUACUGGAAUCCCUCCAGGCCCGGGAAGGACA